CAAUCUUACACCACCCGGCCCCUUGACAGUUGAAUACUCCCACGACACCAGAAAAAUCAUUCAUGUUCCAUAUCUUCAGAAGGCUGGAAAAUGGUAAAUGGGCAGCCCACUUAGUGUGUGACAGAAAACGGAUAUAAAAGUAGUUGGACAUGUAUGCUUGAAAUGUUCAAAAUUUCUUUUACCUUUUUCCAUCUCUUGCAGGAUCAGUGAACAAACAAUCUCUGGUUGGUCUGCCAGGAAGCUUGGCCCUCAAUAUGGAACCAUCAGGAAGUACAAGCUUUCUCAGUAGAUUGAAGUCAUGCUGACCAGGUUUAUCACUGCAUCAAUAGACGAGAGGAUAAUUAAUUUUUAUACAUUUAAACUUUUGAAUCAUUAACAGAUCAUGAAAUGAUAAGUAAAAAGUCUUACCUGACGUAAAUAGCGCACCCACCGAUUGCACGGGCUGCUCCAUGAUAUUCCGCCAUUGGGUGUAGGCUCUGCAUUGCAUAAAAAUUUACAAAUUAUCAUCAAGAGAGAAGUUGAAAGAAGAAACUAUAAGCAAGAAACGUAAGCACGUCCUUAGGUUUGUGCAACAUAAUGAAACAGGACAAAUAUUAGGCACCUAUAGCGUUUUUUAGCUUACAUGAAACAUAUCCCAAUCAGGCUGCAUGAACUCCCCGAGGAAAAUGGUAUUGUAAGCAACUGAUGCAAUAUGGAUUGUGUGUGAUGCUGGAUCUCUUGGCCAGAAGUCAUCAGAAGCCCUUAUAACAGCUGCCCGCUUCGUGCUGAAAUUUCAACCACAAAAAAGCCCCAAAUUUUAGUGGAAUCUCCAACGUAACAUACAACACAAGAGGCACCUACUAAACCUAAAUGAAAGUAUCUUACAAAAUGUCUAAUAAAGGUAGUCAGAUCAAAGUACCUGUACAAACCAUCUGUGUUGUGACUCAUACAAGAUAUGAUUCCAUUGUCGGGAAAAUUCCUAGAGAUAGAUGCCUCCAAUGCCUGAUGAUAUUUCCUAGCAAGUUUCACUCUUCCACCAUGGCCUGCCCCUAGAGUUUCCAGGAUAUUCUGAACAUCGACUUUAACACCAUCAAUACCAGCAGAAGCAAGAUAGGAGUGGAGUUCGUUGUAAAAGCUGAAAACUUUCUCAGGAUUGACAAGGCCGAGGCCAUUAGUAGUGAUGCUCUUGAGGGCAUCACAAGGCUCAUUUGAUUCAACUCCCGGAGAUGAGACAGGGUAUGCCAUCUUGGACUCAUAAUGUUCCAUUCCAUCCACACCAGGCCUAACACCACCCCAAUAACCUGUGAUCGCGUGCCACACAUAUGCAUACCUGAAAUUUUAAUGACAAGUUUCAGGCAUUACAAUUUGGAGAAACCACUUAAUUGAGCUGAGUUUCAGGCAGAAUUCAUAUAUCCAGGCGUAUGCAUACUUCAAGGCAUGUUUUUCUUUGAUCUCUGUGACAAUGUGACGAAGGCCCAGGGCCGGAUCGUCCACUCUGCUACCCUCUUGGCCAUCUUUCUGGAACUUAUGGUUCUCCUUGAUAUGAGUCAAUCGGUUUGCAAAGCUGAUGCAACAAAGACACAAGUGUUAACCAAACACAUUUGCAACCAAAACCAACUAAGGAAAAAUUUAUUAUGCCACUUACUUAGCAGUGUUGUCUGCUUUGGAGUCUUUGCUGGUGGGAUCCAUUCCAACGGAUUGCCAUCCAUCAUCAAUUAUGACAAACCUGGGAGGUACUCCACCUUUCUCGAAGCUGCAAGUUGAUGUCUAAAACUUUCAGCUUGUAUGAGAACCGGUACUAUCAAUAUGAUGGCGCUAGAGAUUUCAAGGGAAAUUUAACAACGGUUGUUUACUAAGUAACGUGGUGUAGUUAGAUCAUUAUGGGUAAUCAAACUGGCCAACCACCUUGCACUUGAGUCCCAUUUGUUAUAACCAUUUAGAGUUUGUCACUAUUUUAGCAAACCAAUCUUAAUGAAGUCUCAAGCAUUAUUCUUCUCAAGCAGUUUAUUUUAAGAGUCUUUACCUCUCUAAUCCUUGUUUCACACCCUCAGCUGUGACAUCUGUAUAGAAAGCAUCCCAGGUACACCAGCCAAACCAAUUCAGCAUAUCCGGCAU
rnacentral:lncRNA from 1 species